CCAUGAAGAAGGAUGUGUCAGAAACUGAUGUCUGCCACUCUGAUGGGGAGCGCCAAAUUCAGAGUACAAAUUUGAUGAUGCGCCAUGAGAAAGAUGAGGAGCUGUGUUUCUCACAGAAAGACAACUCAGAGUUUGGAUCCAGUGAACAUAAUGCAACAUCCAGGGGUGAAGCAGUGGAGCAGAAAGCAAAGUCAGAGAUUGGAUCCGGUGACAAUCAUGUGAUGGCCCAUGGUGAAGCAAUGCCAAAAGAAGAAUAAAGACCGAGUUACAAAGUAGGAUGAGGACAUCCAACUUUCAUGUUCUUUAGGAAGAGCAGGAUGUUCAUGAGGUUUUCUGUGUUUGAGGAAGAAAACAAGUUUUUGUGUAAAAUUCUUUAUUCAAUGUUCACAUAGAAUUGAGACAUUUUGAAUGUUUAUAUUUUCAGUGAAAAACACUGAGUUACAAAGGAAGGGGAGGACACCCUAAUGCCACAUUGUUU